UACGUAGGGGGCAAGCGUUGUCCGGAUUUAUUGGGCGUAAAGAGCGCGUAGGCGGCCCGGAAAGUCGGAUGUGAAAGCCCGGGGCUUAACCCCGGGUCUGCAGUCGAUACGGGCAGGCUAGAGUGUGGUAGGGGAGAUCGGAAUUCCUGGUGUAGCGGUGAAAUGCGCAGAUAUCAGGAGGAACACCGGUGGCGAAGGCGGCGUCCUGGACCAACACUGACACUGAUGAGCGAAAGCCAGGGGAGCAAACGGG
rnacentral:rRNA from 1 species